AGUGUGCUGGAGGUAUCAGAAGUGCGAAUGCUGACAUGAGUAACGAUAAUGUGGGUGAAAAGCCCACACGCCGGAAGUCCCAGGUUUCCUGCACGACGUUAAUCGGAGCAGGGUGAGUCGGCCCCUAAGGCGAGGCUGAAGAGCGUAGUCGAUGGGAACCAGGUUAAUAUUCCUGGACUUUUUAUAAGUGGUGAAGUGGGGACGAAGAAGGCUAGGUGAGCCAGGCGUUGGUUGUCCUGGUACUUGCAUGUAGGGGGGAAGACUUGGCAAAUCCGGUUUUCCAUAACUCUGAGGUGCGAAGUGGUUCUGACCUUUUGGUACAGAGAAGUCAUUGAUGCCCGGCUUCCAGGAAAAGCUGCUAGCCAUAACUUAUAGAGAACCGUACCGCAAACCGACACAGGUGGACAGGUAGAGAAUACUAAGGCGCUUGAGAGAACUCGGGUGAAGGAACUAGGCAAAAUGGUACCGUAACUUCGGGAGAAGGUACGCCCUUUCUGGUGAUGGGAUUUACUUUCAGAGCUGGAGAGGGCCGCAGAGACCAGGUGGCUGCGACUGUUUAUUAAAAACACAGCACUCUGCAAAUUCGUAAGAAGACGUAUAGGGUGUGACGCCUGCCCGGUGCCGGA
rnacentral:rRNA from 1 species